rnacentral:misc_RNA from 1 species
GAUGAAGAACGCAGUGAAAUGCGAUAAGUAAUGUGAAUUGCAGAAUUCAGUGAAUCAUCGAAUCUUUGAACGCACCUUGCGCCCUUUGGCCAUUCCGAAGGGCAUGCCUGUUUGAGUAUCAUGAACACCUCAACUCUUCAUGGUUUUCCGUGAUGAGCUUGGACUUUGGGGGUCUUGCUGGCCUAUGGUCAGCUCCUCUAAAAUAAAUCAGCUUGCCAGUGUUUGGUGGGUAUCACAGGUGUGAUAACUAUCUACGCUUGUGGUUUUCCACCAGGUAACCUUCAGCAGUGGAGGUUCGCUGGAGCUCACAGAUGUGUCUCUCCUCAGUGAGGACAGCUCUUUGAAUGUUUGAUCUCAAAUCAGGUAGGACUACCCGCUGAACUUAAGCAUAUCAAUAAGCGGAGGA